CUGGUUGAUCCUGCCAGUAGUCAUACGCUUGUCUCAAAGAUUAAGCCAUGCAUGUCUAAGUAUAAACAAAUUUGUACUGUGAAACUGCGAAUGGCUCAUUAAAUCAGUUAUAGUUUAUUUGAUGGUAUCUUACUACAUGGAUAACUGUGGUAAUUCUAGAGCUAAUACAUGCAAUCAAGCCCCGACUUCCGGAAGGGGUGUAUUUAUUAGAUAAAAAACCAACGCGGCUCGCCGCUCCCUUGGUGAUUCAUAAUAACUUCUCGAAUCGCAUGGCCUUGUGCCCGCGAUGCUUCAUUCAAAUAUCUGCCCUAUCAACUUUCGAUGGUGGGGAUAGAGGCCUACCAUGGUUUCUUCGGGUAACGCGGAAAAAAGGGGUUCUUUUCCAGAGGGAGCCCGAGAAACAACUACUACAUCCACCAAGGGAAGGAGAAGCGCCCAUUACAAACUCCCCCGACGGGGGGGGGGUGUCGACAAAUACUGAUACAAUUGGCUUUUAUCCUCUUGUGUCCGGGGAUUAACCUUUGAAACAACCCAAUGACAACGGACAGUAGCACCCAAAUCCUGUAAAGCACCCCCGGGUACGAACCCAAUUUGGAAUUGGCGUUUUUUUAAAUUCUCGGGACAAGUAAACCCCCGGGCAAA
rnacentral:rRNA from 1 species